AAGGAUUCCCCUAGUAACUGCGAGUGAAGCGGGAAAAGCUCAAAUUUAAAAUCUGGCAGUGUUUAACUGUUCGAGUUGUAACCUAGAGAAGUGUUGCCCGUGCUGGACCAUGUAUAAGUCUCCUGGGAUGGAGCGUCACAGAGGGUGAGAAUCCCGUGUUUGACAUGGACUACCAGUGCAUUUGUGGUACGCUCUCAAAGAGUUGAGUUGUUUGGGAAUGCAGCUCUAAAUGGGUGGUAAAUUCCAUCUAAAGCUAAAUAUAGGCGAGAGACCGAUAGCGAACAAGUACCGUGAGGGAAAGAUGAAAAGAACUUUGGAAAGAGAGUUAAACAGUAUGUGAAAUUGUUGAAAGGGAAACGCUUGAAGUCAGUCGUGUUGGUCAGGGAUCAAGUUAGUGUUAUUUGCUGGCUGUAUUUCCUGGUCAAUGGGUCAACAUGAGUUUUGACUGCUAGAGAAAGGCAUUGGGAAUGUAGCAUCCAUUUUGGGUGUGUUAUAGCCCUAAGUCAUAUGUAGCAGUUGGGACUGAGGAUAGCAGCGCGCCGCAAGGCAGGGUUUCGACCACGUUCGCGCUUAGGAUGUUGGCAAUAAUGGCUUUAAGCGACCCGUCUUGAAACACGGACCAAGGAGUCUAACAUGCCUGCGAGUGUUUGGGUGGAAAACCCUCUCGCGUAAUGAAAGUGAAAGUUGAGAUCCCCCCUUUUUUUUGGGGGGGGGGGGAGCAUCGACGCCCGGACCAGAACUUUUGGGACGGAUCUGCGGUAGAGCAAGCAUGUUGGGACCCGAAAGAUGGUGAACUAUGCCUGAAUAGGGCGAAGCCAGAGGAAACUCUGGUGGAGGCUCGUAGCGAUUCUGA
rnacentral:rRNA from 1 species